rnacentral:rRNA from 1 species
CCUACGGGAGGCAGCAGUGGGGAAUAUUGCACAAUGGGGGAAACCCUGAUGCAGCAACGCCGCGUGAAGGAAGACGGUUUUCGGAUUGUAAACUUCUGUUCUUAGUGGAGAAUAAUGACGCUAGCUAACGCGCAAGCCACGGCUCACUACGUGCCAGCAGCCGCGGUAAUCCGUCGGGGGCACGCGUUGUUCGGAAUUACUGGGUGUAAAGGGAGCGCAGGCGGGAAGCCAAGUCAGCUGUGAAAACUACGGGCUUAACUUGUAGACUGCAGUUGAAACUGGUUGUCUUGAGUGAAGUAGAGGUUGGCGGAAUUCGGAGUGUAGCGGUGAAAUGCGUAGAUAUUCGGAGGAACACCGGUGGCGAAGGCGGCCAACUGGGCUUUAACUGACGCUGAGGCUCGAAAGUGUGGGGAGCAAACAGGAUUAGAUACCCGUGUAGUC